GAAGGUCCAGUAAUCACCAUGGUGCACGUGUAUCUUACCUGUGAUCAACACCGGCAGCCACAGACUCCUGCCCAAGGAACGAACACAGUGAUCGUGAUGACAUUGACAACAACGAGCAAGUCCUCCUAGACCUAGAGUGACCUCAAGCUGGGCCAAACAUGAUGUGGAAGAAGAAAUCAGUUGUCUCCAUCAGUCGGGUUUGUGCCAUGGCAGCUUUCUCCAGCUGUCCGGCAGAGGUCCAGUCCAUGCCAUGGAGAAAUUCAGCCCCCAACAAUGAGAUGGCAUGCCAGAGAUGGAUCCGCAGCUUCUCUUCCAAUCAGUCAAUCCUUGCAAUGCCCUUUCUCUUUUCUCUUCUUCUGUACCACCAUGCUUACACAUAACUGAUCCAAGGUACUUAAACUCGUUAACCUCCUCCAUUUCUUCACCAUUCAAAAUUAUUUGGCGUUC